GGCUAAUGAUGCACGGACAUCCACCAUUUCCAUGCCUUACAGAGUCCAGCAGAUAGAAGAGAUCGUUAAACAGCUUGAGUCCGGAGAUCUGAAACUCAGAGUUCGGGUCCUCGAGUCUGAGAGAGCAGCUCGAAAAGCUACAAUUCUUCAAAUGGCAACCAUGUACACAGUCAUAGGGGGCACCCUCCUAAACCUUGGUGUCACUUUUACCAG
rnacentral:misc_RNA from 1 species